CUUUCUUUCUAUCUGUCUUUCUUUCUAUCUGUCUUUCUAUCUUUCUUUCUUUCUAUCUUUCUUUCUCCUUCCUUCCUUCCUUCCUUCCUUCCUUCCUUCCUUCCUUCCUUCCUUCCUUCCUUCCUUCCUUCCUUCCUUCCUUCCUUCCUUCCUUCCUUCCUUCCUUCCUUUCUUCUUUCUUUCUUUCUUUCUUUCUUUCUUUCUUUCUUUCUUUCUUUCUUUCUUUCUUUCUUUCUUUCUUUCUUUCUUUCUUUCUUUCUUUCUUUCUUUCUUUCUUUCUUUCUUUCUUUCUUUCUUUCUUUCUUUCUUUCUUUCUUUCUUUCUUUCUUUCUUUCUUUCUUUCUAUACUGGAGUGGUUUGCCUUCUCUAACGUGUCCCCAUUUUACAGAUGAGGAGCUGAGGCUUAUAGGGCUUCCAUGACUUGCUCAGAGCUCUUCAGCUAGUAAGUAUCUGAGACCAGAUUUUACUUUUAUGCAAUAUAUAUCACUUUCCUUCAUAUAUUCUAUGUUGCAGGCAAACUGGACUACCGGUCUGUUCUGUCCUUUCCCUUUACUGUGAAUUUAUGUAGGCAAUCCCUCCUGUUUGGGGCAUAUUCCUUUCUCAAUUCCACCUACAGAAAUCCUAUUCUCUCAGCUUGAUGCGACUUCCCAUAAAACUUUUCCUGAUCUCCACCUCAGCAGAAAUGCUCUUCAUUUCUCUCUGAUUUUUCUUAGAGUACUUUGUCUGGAUCCCUUCUUUGUCUCAAUGACCUCUAUGUGGAUUACGCUUUGCUGUGUCCAUAUGAUAUCUCCUUUUGUCUCCCUUCUUAUCAGACUACUGCUUUUCAUCUUUGCAUCAUCAGCUUAUAAUAUGGUGCUUUGCCUAUAGUUGGCACAUAACAAAAGUGUUUUUUUUUAAAGGAAUUGGUUCCAUGCCUACUGAUAUUUCCUCUGUGAAAAGGAUCUCUGAUACUUUUUUUAGGUAAAAUCAAGGGGAAUAUUCUGGAAACCUACUAAAUCAGACAGCCUCGGAAGACAUUUGUGCAUUAAAAAAAUUUUUUUCAGCAAAAAACUAUUUAUUUUUCUCUCCCUCCCACCUAACCAAUUGAAACAAAAUAAAACAAAACCAUUAUAACA
rnacentral:lncRNA from 1 species